CCCUUAGAUGUCCUGGGCCGCACGCGCGUUACACUGAUGCAUUCAACGAGCUUAUAACCUUGGCCGAGAGGCCUGGGCAAUCUUGUUAACGUGCAUCGUGAUAGGGAUAGAUUAUUGAAAUUAUUAAUCUUGAACGAGGAAUUCCUAAUAAACGCAGAUCAUCAAUCUGCAUUGAUUACGUCCCUGCCCUUUGUACACACCGCCCGUCGCACCUACCGAUUGGAUGGUCCGGUGAAGCCUCGGGAUUGUGGUUCUUGCCGCUUUAUUGUGGCGUGACCGCGAGAACUUGUCUAAACCUUAUCAUCUAGAGGAAGGUGAAGUCGUAACA
rnacentral:rRNA from 1 species